GACAGAGGCCUCGAGCGUUAGGCGGAAUCACUGGGCUUAAAGCGUGUGUAGGCGGGCCCGUAAGUGUCUUGUGAAAUCCCACGGCUCAACCGUGGAACUGCUGGGCAUACUGCGGGUCUUGGGCCAACUAGGGGCAGCCGGAACAAGCGGUGGAGCGGUGAAAUGCGUAGAUAUCGUUUGGAACGCCAAUGGUGAAAACAAGUAGCUGGGGAUGUGCCGACGCUGAGACACGAAAGCCAGGGGAGCGAACGGG
rnacentral:rRNA from 1 species